CUGCGUGGUGGACUCUCGCGAGAGCGCGCAGCGCAGCGACUCGCCGCUGAGGGACUUUAGGAAUGAGGUGGGGUGCGGAGAAGCUUCGCGGGGCGGAGGGACACAGUCGGAGGCCGACCAGACAUUUUGCGGGAGAAGAUGGCACAGUGUGGAAAAGGAGAGUAGGAGGCUUCCCUCAGCCGUGGAGUCUGGGAGGCGGGGAGACGUCUCUGAGUUCUCCUGUCUCACAGCAAGACAGCCAGCAGACCCAGUGCCACCAGCCAGUCUUGCUCCAUCUUUUGAAAUGGACACUGGAUGAGCAUGAAAUACUCCAGUUCAGCUGCUCAUCAUUAGAUUUCAUGGAAUCCUCAUUGUACUGCUAG
rnacentral:lncRNA from 1 species